CAAAGAAGGGGCCCAACGCCCUCAUGCGCCGCAAUAGCGUCACCCCUCUAGCGAGCCCCGAGCCCACCAAAAAGCCACGCAUCAACAGCUUUGAGGAGCAUGUGGCUGCCGCCGCUUCGGCCGCUCACCCCGUCUGUAUGCCCCAGGAGGCGCCCGCACAGCUGCCCGGACAACCUGUCCUGGGAAAGGCCUGCCUAAGCUGAACGUCUCCCACGAGCGGUCUUGAAUCUCUCCCGGCGAUGUUGGUGAAGCUGGCGAGGGACGGCCGGCUCCAUUCACAUCGCCCGCCGCACCUCCGGUCCUUCUUCGCUCAAGCUUGAGGGUCAACCUUUUGUUGUUGUCUUUGACCCUCUUCCGUAGCUGAUCGUCUUGCUGGACUUGGACUCGGGAACAGAACGGAGGCAGGGGGGAAAAAGACUUUUUUUGGUGGGUGGGGAGGAAGAAAGAAGAACGGUCUCGUUAGAUUAUAAAGGUGGAUCCAACAUCUGAUUUUUAGAGGUCGAAUGCCUUUUUUGUUUUCCUUCAGGGCGUGAUAGACGGCAGCGGGCUUGAAGGGUACUUCGUUUGCACACUGGAUAUUCUACGUAGCAGUGGAAGGGGGAGGCUUACCUGUAAAGCGACGCCGUUGCCUUGAGAUGGAAGGAGACCCCUCCGCUCCUCUUGCAGUGUGUAAAUAAAUGGAGGAUAUUGGAGGUGUGGGAAACACAGUUCGGAAGGCGUGUCAAAGCUAUGCACCGGGACACGGGAGAUAGUUGAUCUCGUCUGUUUGUAUGAACCCCCAUCCUGCCCGACUGUUGUCGGGGAAACAGCGAGGGACCCCCCCCCCUUCCAAAUCUUUUUUAAAAAGUUCUGUAUUGAUUCAAAAACAGUACUAAAUUUGUAUCGCUCUGACUAUUAAAGGGAUGCAUAGAGAAUUGGAUAGCUUUGGUUGGCCUGGGGUUCCGCCCACAGCGAUUUAAUUUUUUUUUUUAGACCUCAGUAACUUGUAACAGAACUUCCGUCAUGCGGUUAAACUGGAGGGAGUGAUAGCAGGUUGUCUGCAUGGGAAUUUGCAUUUUUGGUUGCACGGGGGAUUGGGGACGUAUAGACCCUUAAGGGACACAGCGGAAUGUUCACUUUGUUUGGAAAUCACCUCUCCAUCCACUAACCCGUUUUAUUCCUUAGAGCUCCUCCCAACCCAGGUAGGAUCUAGAGUUAGAAAACCAGUUUUAGACAUACGAUUAAGACUUUUCUGAUCACUCUUUUCAGACUCAGCUACGUGAACCUUUUGCAUGUGUUGAGGCGAGGGAAAUUUUUGGGGGGCUUGUUUACAUAUCUGAGCCAAGGGAGGACUUAUAGUAGCAAACCAUUCUGCAGGUAGUUCCUCCUAAGCCCGGAUCCCGUUCUAGCGCGCAACUGGAAACAUGGGGUUGCUACAGGAGCCGGGCCUCUCCUGUGACUGGUUCACGGCCAGGUGGACAAUAAUCAGAGGAUGGCCGUACUGGGUGAGCUCCUUGUGCGAAUUCACACCGGGUUGACUACUAGCCAGGUGUCUCCCAGUGAAACGCUGGGGAUGUUUGAAGAAGGGAUGCUGCAUAUCGGACAAACUGGAGACAAAUGGCCAGUUUCCGUAUUGCAAAGUCUUUGCAUCCCCACA